rnacentral:lncRNA from 1 species
UAUUAUAUUUUAAGAAAUUAUUGAAUUAUUUUUUUAAUUUUUGUACGAUAUGAUAAAUUUUAUAGUAUUUUAUUAAAAGCCAGUAGUUUUGUUAAAGUGUAUUGGUUGACAAUAAUAGAAUAGGUAUUCUAUUUAAUUUGACAAUAUAGAGUUAAAAUACAUAUAAAAAUAAUAAAAAAAGUUAAAAAUAAUUUAAUAUAUAUAUUUUAAUAAACUUAUUUUAAAGACUCUAUUUUAAAAUAGAAUUGAUUGUUUGAAACAAUAAAUUAAUUAUUAGUAAUAUUUAAAGAUGUACGAGAAAGCGAUAGAUAAUUUAUCUAUAAUAUUUUUGAAAAAGAAAAAAAAAUAACUAUAAAAUACCAAAUAAAAUACAUUCUGAGCUUUCAGAUAAUACAAAAUUUUCAAAAAGGCUCACCAAUUUAAACCGAAUCACAAGCGAGAUUCGUGAACGAUACCUCUGCAUGCUUUAAGUGAAUUAAUUGCGUAUUUUUAAUCGUUCGAAUUUUAAGAUUAAUAAUUAGCAUCAACAAACCAAAGUAUAGUCAU